rnacentral:rRNA from 1 species
UACGUAGGGAGCAAGCGUUGUCCGGAAUCAUUGGGCGUAAAGCGCGCGUAGGUGGCUUCGUAAGUCCGUUGUGAAAGUCAAAGGCUCAACCUUUGAAAGCCGAUGGAUACUGUGAAGCUAGAGUACGGAAGAGGCGAGUGGAAUUCCUGGUGUAGCGGUGGAAUGCGCAGAUAUCAGGAGGAACACCAAUAGUGAAGGCAGCUCGCUGGGACGUUACUGACGCUGAGACGCGAAAGCGUGGGGAGCAAACAGG